AGAGUUUGAUCCUGGCUCAGGAUGAACGCUAGCGGCAGGCCUAACACAUGCAAGUCGAGGGGUAUAGGAAGCUUGCUUCCUAGAGACCGGCGCACGGGUGCGUAACGCGUAUGCGAUCUACCUUAUACAGGGGAAUAGCCCAGAGAAAUUUGGAUUAAUGCCCCAUGGUAUUGUUGAAUGGCAUCAUUUGAUAAUUAAAGUUCCAACGGUAUAAGAUGAGCAUGCGUCCCAUUAGUUAGUUGGUGUGGUAACGGCACACCAAGACGAUGAUGGGUAGGGGUCCUGAGAGGGAGAUCCCCCACACUGGUACUGAGACACGGACCAGACUCCUACGGGAGGCAGCAGUGAGGAAUAUUGGUCAAUGGACGCAAGUCUGAACCAGCCAUGCCGCGUGCAGGAAGAAGCAUCUAUGGUGUGUAAACUGCUUUUAUACAGGAAGAAACAUCCCGACGUGUCGGGACUUGACGGUACUGUAAGAAUAAGGACCGGCUAACUCCGUGCCAGCAGCCGCGGUAAUACGGAGGGUCCAAGCGUUAUCCGGAAUCAUUGGGUUUAAAGGGUCCGUAGGCGGCUUUAUAAGUCAGUGGUGAAAUCUCCUAGCUCAACUAGGAAAUGGCCAUUGAUACUGUAGGGCUUGAAUUAUUGUGAAGUAACUAGAAUAUGUAGUGUAGCGGUGAAAUGCUUAGAUAUUACAUGGAAUACCAAUUGCGAAGGCAGGUUACUAACAAUAUAUUGACGCUGAUGGACGAAAGCGUGGGGAGCGAACAGGAUUAGAUACCCUGGUAGUCCACGCCGUAAACGAUGGAUACUAGCUGUUCGGAGCAAUCUGAGUGGCUAAGCGAAAGUGAUAAGUAUCCCACCCUGGGGGAGUACGAACGCAAGUUUGAAACUCAAGGA
rnacentral:rRNA from 1 species